rnacentral:rRNA from 1 species
CCCUUAGAUGUCCUGGGCCGCACGCGCGUUACACUGAUGCAUUCAACGAGCUUAUAACCUUGGCCGAGAGGCCUGGGCAAUUUUGUUAACGUGCAUCGUGAUAGGGAUAGAUUAUUGAAAUUAUUAAUCUUGAACGAGGAAUUCCUAGUAAACGCAGAUCAUCAAUCUGCAUUGAUUACGUCCCUGCCCUUUGUACACACCGCCCGUCGCACCUACCGAUUGGAUGGUCCGGUGAAGCCUCGGGAUUGUGGUUCUUGCCGCUUUAUUGUGGCGUGACCGCGAGAACUUGUCUAAACCUUAUCAUCUAGAGGAAGGUGAAGUCGUAACA